rnacentral:rRNA from 1 species
AUGACCACCCCCAAGAAAAAAAAUGGGAAUUCGAUCCCCUCUGCUUCCCUCGCAAAAUUCUUCGAGCUCUCCCGAAUGACAAACUUGCUCUCCGAUCCUCGCGCCCGUAUGAUACGUCGUGUUUCCUCUUCGAUCUGCCUGCCUCUCAGCUCGACCAGUGCCAGCUCUCAGUCGAACCGAUCGACUGGUCAUGGCGGCUCAUUCCUCGACCGCGGCGGCGGCGGCGGCUCACUCCUCGAUCGCGGUGGCCGCGGCGGCCUUGUAGAGGUCGUAGGGCUCCCAGAGGUAGUCGACGGUGCACGGCUUCCGGGUGUCGAGCCGCAGCCACGGCUUCCCCUUCCCGCUCCAGUGCAGCAGGCUGAUGGGGCCCGGGUGGAGGCUCCGGCACCUCCCCUCCGCGUUGUCCCCGCCGAGCCCGUGCUGGUUCCACCGGUGGUCCACCGGCAUGAUCUCCCCGGCGAGCACCAGCAGGAACGGCGGCAGCGACCCCAGGCUGUAGAUCCGCUUCUCCUCCUUCUGGAUCGCCAUCCACUCCUCCACCCGCCGCGAGUAUCCCCCCGCGCGCCACCGCGCCACGUCGAUCACCAUCACGCCCGUGUUGAAGUAGCACGGCCGCCGGCGCCGAUGCGGGCCCUGCCGGAACGUGGCGCUGAGCCGCGGGUCCGACCAGAAGGCGUCGGUGAAGUACUUGGUGAAGUUGGUGUGGCAGUACUCGGGCGCCGCCACCACGUGGCCGCCGCCGGCGUCGAGGUCCACGGACCAGAGCUUGCGCACGUCGUCCACGACCACCACGUCGGAGUCGAGGUAGAUGACGCGGCGCACGGCGCGGGGCAGCGUGUCGGCGAGGUAGAUGCGCGCGUAGUUGAGCGGCUGGUCCAGCGCGUGGCGCACGGAGCGGGAGAUGCGGCCGCUGACGCGGGCCGGGUCGAAGAGGUACACGCUGGGGUCCAGGUACGGGAACGUGGCGCGCACGGCGUCGGCGUCCCGCCGCCGCGCCGCCAGGAAGUGGAAGGACACGUCCUCCGGGCACGCCGUGUGCUGCAGGAUGGAGAAGACGGCCGCGACGGUGCCGCGCAGGUAGUUGGCGUCCAGCGUCAUGGCGAUGUGCACGCGCUCCCCCGCCCCCCGCGGCGGGCACCCGUCGCCGUUCCGGAACGCGGGCGCCUCCCGGAACCCCGGCCCCGACGACGGCAGCCGUGUAGCGUCCGCCGCCGCCCGGGCGCCAGACACCGCCGCCACGCCGUGGGUCGCCAGCAGCACCGCUGCCAGAAGCGCCCACGACGACGCCAUCGCGCUUCGCACCACCAGAACGCGCGCGCGGCGGGUGAGCGCGGCGACAAGGACUGUACGCCGGCGCACACGGGAAGGGUGGCUAGCUAG